rnacentral:rRNA from 1 species
UACGUAGGGACCAAGCGUUGUUCGGAUUUACUGGGCGUAAAGGGCGCGUAGGCGGUGCGGUAAGUCACUUGUGAAAUCUCCGAGCCUAACUCGGAACGGCCAAGUGAUACUGCAGUACUAGAGUGCGGAAGGGGCAAUCGGAAUUCUUGGUGUAGCGGUGAAAUGCGUAGAUAUCAAGAGGAACACCUGAGGUGAAGACGGGUUGCUGGGCCGACACUGACGCUGAUGCGCGAAAGCCAGGGGAGCAAACGGG